AGCUUUAGCCUGAGUGUCAACUAAUUAAAAUUCACUUUGCACGAUAACUUCCCAUAAUGGAUUUAGAAUUGGAAGUUGUAACGACUUAAACAGGCAACAAAUACAUCAAAGCUAAAGGGUGCAAACAAAUCCAACAAUACUGUAAUUUCAAAUUGCCUCGCAAAAUUUAGGUACCUUCAGCUAAACUAGAAACAAAAUCAGUAAAGUUGACAAAAGAAGUCCUAGAAUAAACUCAGGGGAACUGGGAACAGGACAUUUCAUACAGAGGCCAACACUGCAUUCCUCUAAUCGAAGAGACUGAAACCCAUGUCCUGCAAUAUUAAAACCAGAAAACCAUGUUAGCAGAUAUACAAGAUAUUUAGGAGUAAACAUUGUCCAGUGCAGAAGGAAGCCAAGGCUCCUAGAUUGACAGAGCAUCUUACAUCAUCAGAUUCCUCUUUCUCUUCCUUCUUCUCCUCUUUCUUCUCCUCAGCAGCUGAUGCUGCAGCGGCAGCACCACCAGCAGGUGCAGCU
rnacentral:lncRNA from 1 species